CCUUUUGAGUUUAAUUUAAGGUCUAAUCUGCCCACUGAGGAAUUAAAUGGCCGCGGUAUUUUGACCGUGCGAAGGUAGCAUAAUCAUUAGUUUUUUAAUUGAAAGCUGGAAUGAAUGAUUGGAUGAGAAAAUAGCUGUCUCAGAUUAAUUUUUUUAGAAAUUUAUUUUUAAGUUAAAAAGCUUAAAUAAUUUUAAAAGACGAGAAGACCCUAUAGAGUUUAAUAUUUUUAGGAUUUAAAAAUUUGUUGUUUUUAUUUAUUUUUAUUUUAUAAAGUAUUUAGUUGGGGUGACAGAAAAAUUUAUGAAACUUUUUUUAAAUUUUUAUACUUAUAAGUAAUUUGUUGAUCCAAAAUUUUUGAUUAGAAGAUAAAAUUACCUUAGGGAUAACAGCGUAAUUUUUUUUGAGAGUUCUUAUCGAAAAAAAAGAUUGCGACCUCGAUGUUGGAUUAAAAUUAAGUUUUGGUGUAGAAGCUAAAAUUUUAGGUCUGUUCGACCUUUAAAACUUU
rnacentral:rRNA from 1 species